UUUAAACUUGUUGAAAAAAAUAUCUGUAAUUCUUUCCUCACAUUCUUUCCUCAAAAUCCACUUAAAUCAUACUUUAUUUAAUUCCUAUCACUCCACAAAUUGUCAGAGUCCAGAUAACCAAUGAAUAUAUGGUUCUAAAUGCAUGGUAAAUUAUCUCCUUUAAAUUUCUUACUUGAUUUCUCAGCAGCAUGUGACAGAAUUAAUGAUUCUUUUCUUUUGGAAACACCCUCUCUUGGUUUCUGGGAACCCUCACUCAUCUGGUUUUUCUUUUUAUUCUCAGACUCAUUUGAUAUUAUUUGCUGCUUCACCACUCAGUGUUAGUGUCCCUGAGGCCUGCCUUGCACUACUUUCUCUAUCUAAAAUAUUCACAUGCCUGUAACUGAAUUCAAGGAAAACAAAGCCUGGGGCUAGAAGGAAGUGUAGGAAUCCAAGGAGAAAUAUCCGUGGUAGAUUUCAAUUAAGAAGCUCUGGCAUUAAGCAAAAUAGGUGAAGAAGCUUUACACGUCGUUUCCCUUUUGAGUCGCUCAGCCAAAUUCAUCAGUGUAAAGGAAGAGGCAAGUAUUUAAUUCAAAGUUAAAGAAGUACUCAAACCCAAGAGCCCUUUAAAGAAACAACAUAGGAGUCAGUGAGUGAGUGGGGGAAGCAGCCAAGAUGGACAAACAAGAACAGCUCUGGUCUACAGCUCCCAGCAUGAGCGACGCAGAAGACAGGAAGGACCUCAGGAAACCUGCCCAGCAAUCAUAAAUGCUGCUUUCAUCCUGCAAGUGAUCUUACUUUGCAUGCCACUGAGCCACAGGUUCAUGAGCAAGAGAGUAGAAGUGAAUUUUAUUCUGAUCUUGUCUAGACUGAAGCUGGCACCAUAUUCAAUUAAGGACAUUCCUACAUUGAUUGUCAAGGUGUUGAAAUUUCCACCAUGUAGUUUUUUCUCCACACUCACAGAGAGGCUCACGGUAAACCUCCUAAAGCAUCUUAUUAAAAGAGAAACGCUACAGCCAUAGUCACAGAUGAGCUCUGGUGACUAAAAUCCCACCUACCACUACUUGACUGUUGCGGUCCCUGAAGCCUACAAAAUCGCAGAAUGAUUGCUGGUUCUCAAACCUCUAGGUUACUUUAUGAUUGGGAAUUUUACAUAUAUCCAUUGCCUGAAAUGCCCUUAGCAUCUAUUACCCUUUGAGACUUAGCUUCAAUAUCAAGUAAUGAAGCCUUUCUUAAGUACCUAGAGAAAAUCAGUUUUCCGGUCUUUCAUGCUACCUUUGUACACACAGCUUUCUGUUGUUACCUUUUCAAAUCAAUCAUUUCACCAUUAUUUCUCUAUGCAUUCAUUCAUUAUUUCAACAAAUAUUUAUCGGGUGUUUAAUAUGUUUAUAGCCAUGUGCUAAGCACUGAGGUUAUACUUUGUCGUGACUCCAUGGUUAAACUCCACAGGGACAAGAUCCACACAAAUAUUCUGUGUGAAGGACACAUAAAUAGUUUGGGGGUACAUCAUGCCUAUGACUGAUAUGAAGAAGGUGUAAACAAAUGUAUAUUGAAUUAAAGAAUACCUUAAAUAUUUGUUUGUAAGAGAUAUAGUUUUAGGAUUUGUUACAAUAGUUAGAAAAGGGUUUCAUGAAUAUGGAAUGAAAGCUUAGACUGCAACUGUUUUACAAAGCGCUUUUAAAAGUAACUACUAAAAUAAUCUAGUAACACUUUUAGAGUCAUUUAGAAAAGAAUAAAAUAAUCUUAGCCUAGCUAACAGGAUGUUCCAAUAAAACUAUUGUGAAGUGGUAGGACUCUUGAUUAUGGUGAGAAUGGGUCAGAAUGGAUGAAUCAACACAUUUGUGUAAAGAAUAAUAUCUAGAAAUGAUGACAAUGUAUAUUUGAAAGAAAAGAGUAUUAAAAAUGUCUUUAAAUUUUCCAAUUUGUUGUACUCAUAGGAAAAUAGGAGGUGAAAAUGAAAUACUUAGAGAUGGUGUCUUAAUUUAUUUCAAGAAUUUGAGGUAAAAAGGAACUGCUCUGCCCUGUUAAUAUGUGAGAUGAGCAAUUUAGGAGGGAGGUCAGACUGGAAAAGUGAAUUUACUGAACACCAUGAUAGUCAUGUUGUUUAAUGACUUAAGAAUAGACAGUAAAAGAGGUUCUCCUAUCAUAGCCCUACAUCCUCUGGAAAUACAUGCUACAUUAAAAUUUAUAUUUCUAUUUCCAUAUGCUUGGUAUGACUAAUGGCAGAAACUGUGAAGAAUCCUAGGAGAAAAAUGGUCUGCAUUUGCUUCAGACUUAUUGCAAAGUGUAUGUAUGAAGGAAAACAUUACUUCUAAUUCUACCAGACCAUCACCUGCAUGAGUCCCUGUGAUGCUUCCCAAAUCCAUCCAAAUGCUUAACUGAAGCUUGAAUUUAUUAUUUUCAAGUUCGAUGUAAAAGUUCUUCUUUUUAAACUUGACACUGUAUACUGUGGCUUAAAUAUUUAAGCAAGGCUCUUUCGAAGAUUGAGGAAGAAACACUCACACAUCAAAAGUAUCUAAUGUUUAAUUCAGCGAGGUAAGCUUUCUCAAACUCUGAAGCUUAUGUGAAGCUGUUUGGAAUUUUUUCAAAGGUCUUUUAUCUCUAAAUCAAAACAGAAUUUUUUUUAAAAAAAUUAUAAUAAUUCUUCAAAACAGAAAUAACUUCUGUCAGAGUUCUUUGGUUUCUACCUAAAAGAAACAGUUACGUGGCAAUUGUUUAUUUAUUUCUACAUGAACCCAACAUGUUCAAAUUCUAAAAGAUUUAGACAAGCUUGCUUCAGUCAUACAUAAAGAUUUUGAAAACUUAUUAUUCAAGCCAACUAAGAUUCUUGCUAGAAAACUCAAACAAAGAACAAUAAUUGGUUUGAAAACUGCAGAAUAUACUUUGUAGAUUAUGACUCUUCAUUGAUAAACAGAUAAGUAAACACCCACAAAUCAAUAUGUAAACAAUAGAACUGGCUAUUAAGUUUUUGCUAAAAGAUCUUCCUUGAGAGAGUUUAUAGAAUUUGCUAAUUUUUUCUUUUUUGUCUUAUUUAAUGUUAGUUAUCAAAGCCAAGUCUUCCCAGACCCUUACUAAUUAAUCUCAACAAUUUGUUUUUGAAAUUUUGAAAACAUAGAAAUAUUAGGAGAAUCUCCACUGGAGUGAUUCAAGAGAGUUCUAAAACAUGGAGACUGACAAAAACAUUCAGAUAGAAAUCUGCAGUUAAUAGUAAUAAAAUGACGGCAGUCACUGUGAUGAUAUGAUAAUUGUGAUGAUUAGGCUGCUGGUUUGGAAUCCUGGAUAAAUCUCUUAAACUAGCUUUAUGGCUUUUAGCAAGUUAUGUAACCUUUGAAAUAUUCACCUGGUUUUUAAAACCACAUUCUGUGGAUGUAAGAUCUAAAUAAGAUAACCCAUAUAAAUAAUGUAGUAUGUCUCGCACAUACUAAGCGCAUGCUAAGACUUUCCCCAUGCUUUCUUUUUUUUGGCUUCUUUUAUUAUUAUUAUUAUUAUUAUACUUUAAAUUCUAGGGUACACUUGCACAACAUCCAUGUUUUAAGUCUCCACCCACUUGUCCUUGAAAAUUCUAAUCUCUUUUGUUUACCAAGGCCAGUGAUAAUGAAGUCUUAUGAUAAAACCUGUUCCUAUAACAUUCCUUCUAGUCAUUACACAUUUUAAUCUCUCGUUUAUUAAGUUAGGUGCCUGUAAUAAUAACAUUUUCUAGAAUAUUUUUUACUGCUUUUAGCAUGGCUAACUUUUUUCACCUUUCCUUCAGUAAAUGCUGCCUCAUUUUAAGGUUUAUUCUGAACACCCAAUAUAAAGUAAUCCCCUCACAAUCUAGAC
rnacentral:lncRNA from 1 species